CGUAGCCACGGGAAUACAGAGGGUGCGAGCGUUAAUCGGAUUUACUGGGCGUAAAGCGUGCGUAGGCGGCUUCUUAAGUCGGAUGUGAAAUCCCUGAGCUUAACUUAGGAAUUGCAUUCGAUACUGGGAAGCUAGAGUAUGGGAGAGGAUGGUAGAAUUCCAGGUGUAGCGGUGAAAUGCGUAGAGAUCUGGAGGAAUACCGAUGGCGAAGGCAGCCAUCUGGCCUAAUACUGACGCUGAGGUACGAAAGCAUGGGGAGCAAACAGGAUUAGAUACCCGCGUAGUCCCUGUCUCUUAUACA
rnacentral:rRNA from 1 species